rnacentral:rRNA from 1 species
UACGGAGGAUGCAAGUGUUAUCCGGAAUCACUGGGCGUAAAGCGUCUGUAGGUGGUUUAACAAGUCAACUGUUAAAUCUUGAGGCUCAACCUCAAAAUCGCAGUCGAAACUAUUAGGCUAGAGUAUAGUAGGGGUAAAGGGAAUUUCCAGUGGAGCGGUGAAAUGCGUAGAGAUUGGAAAGAACACCGAUGGCGAAGGCACUUUACUGGGCUAUUACUAACACUCAGAGACAAAGCUAGGGUAGCAAAUGGG